rnacentral:lncRNA from 1 species
AUGUGCUUCCAUAGCACCUUCAUGCCUGGGACGCCGAAGAUUUCAAUCCUGGGUUGCUGUCAUGGUGGUGAUGAGUCUCAGAAAUCUCAGAACCAUGGAGCCUGCAUGUGGCUAAGAGCUUGGGCUCUAACCUCAGAGUCUGAACCCCUAUUUUUGCCUAAGGAAUGUGGUUUUCCUAGGCUUCAAACCACUCAACAUGUGUGGCCUCCAACAGACCUGAAGCCACGGGCAAGAAGAAUGAAUUGGAAGAGCAGUACCAGAAAAAUGCAGCUUACUCGUCAUUUGCCAGAACUGAGUCACGAGGGCCACCUCUACCUGCAGGGCGAUCUGAGAAGGUACGUUCGCUUUCUUGCAUCUCUAAAAAGGGAAAGAGAAUGGAAAUCAAUGUUGGAAUGA